GCUGGGCAUGGUGGCGCAUGCCUGUAGUCCCAGUGACUCAGGAGGCUGAGGUGGGAGGAUCGCUUGAGCCCAGGAGUUCUGGGCUGCAGUGUGCUAUGCCGAUCGGGUGUCCGCACUAAGUUCGGCAUCAAUAUGGUGACCUCCCGGGAGUAGGGGACCACCAGGUUGCCUAAGGAGGGGUGAACCGGCUCAGGUCGGAAACGGAGCAGGUCAAAACUCCCGUGCUGAUCAGUAGUGGGAUCGCACCUGUGAAUAGCCACUGCACUCCAGCCUGGGCAACAUAGCGAGACCCUGUCUCU
rnacentral:SRP_RNA from 1 species